AGAAGCUUGAUUUGGAUACAUAAAGUGGUGGAGAAUCACCAGGAAGUUGAAUAAAUCUCAUAGGAGUUGGGAUGAAGAAGUUAUCCCACUUUCAAAUCAGGUGAUUCCAGUUUCCCAGUUUGGGAAUAGCACAGCAUCUUCGUCGUUCCAAUCAAACCAGGAUGAAUCACUUUGUGAGAAGCUUCAUUUGGAUACAUAAAGUGGUGGAUAAUCACCGGGAAGUUGAAAAUAUCUCAUAGGACUUGGGAUAAAGAAAUUAUCCCACUUUUAAAUCAGGUGAUUCCAGUUUCCCAGUUUGGGAAUAGCACAGCUUCUUCGUCGUUUCAAUCAAACCAGGAUGAAUCACUUUUUAAAAAGCUUGAUUUGGAUACAUAAAGUGGUGGAAAAUCACCAGGAAGUUGAAUAAAUCUCAUAGUAGUAGGGAUGAAGAAGUUAUCCCACUUU